GUGGGGUCAGUGGGAUCAGUGUGGAUCAAUGUGGGGUGUUAGUGGGGGACCAGUGUGGGGUCAGGGUUAGUGUCUGUCUGUAACACUCUGCACUGAUCCGAGGUCUGUGUUAGGCUCCGCCCCUCAAUCGUCUGCUUGUGUUUGCAGGUGGAAGGCAGUGACGCGUGCUCUCAGCCGGAGGAUCUGCGAGUGUCCGGUGUGUCCGACAGCUGGUGGUUCUCGAUGCUGAUUCUGCCGCCGCUGUUUAA